CAUGUAUGCAUAUAUAAAGUGUACCUUGUCGCCUUUCAAGAUCUGAUGUGUCUUUGAAAGUGAAAUUGAAGGUGCCACAGGA